AAUAAGAGGGAAAAAGUUGUAUCUUCUUACUGCUCCUCUUGGUUCUUGCUAAAGAGGUCCUAAAAUGUUUUCAACCUUUUAAAUGCUGUGUCUUUUUGUAUGCUAAUGAGAUGGUGGGUAGCUGGGGGCUCCUGGAUACCCUGCAAAGGAAGCCUGGUUGAUGCGGGACCAGCCAGACAACUAAAAGGUUGGAGCAUUUCCACCUUCCCACACACAGCUUUGGAGCAGAAUGAGACUGAAGCAACUACCUCCGGACUGGCCCUGUGACACAGGCUGGCUAGCUCGCUGUCCCUGGCUCUGCGGAGAGGACUGACAACAGGACAAGCUGCAGACAUUUCCUUUGAGCAGUGAAGAGCUCCUUGCUUACCAGCCUUUUACUUCCUAUGAUUAAAGUUACUCCCCACA